CGGGUUCAAGUGAUUCUCCUGCCUCAGCCUCCCAAGUAGCUUGGAUUACAGGUUUGAAUGGAGCUCAGAGCAAAAGAAGACUCUGAAGCUGGUCCAGGUUACAGUACAAGUUAUUUUACCAUUUAGGCCAUAUGAAUCAGCAGGUCUGUGACUUUUAGGGCUGUUCCAUGGAGCUUCUGGCAAAUCCCCAUACAAGAAUGACAAUACAUGCUUGUAAGAUUUUAAAACAAAGCUAUGUAGAUAUUCAUUCACCUUUUUAGAAAUGGCAUCUUUCUUGCCACUCAGUGCUGGUAGAGAUUAAAUAUCUGACCAUGGGACAUCAAAUGACCAGGCAAUCUGAGAUGAGUAUCAUGAACUGGAUGUAUCUGAUCCCAAAAGCUCUAAAGUUGGACAUCAACAGCGAAACCCCAUUAUAAAGUGAUAGUGGUAGGAGACUGAGCUCAAAGAGAUACUGAAUAUGUGAUUUGCAUGAAUUGAGGUUUAGACUCUCAUGAAAUGUACUGUUAUUGCAUUGCUGCCUGUCCUUCAACUCAUACUUCUGACCUCAUGGGGCGUUCCCCCUGACUGAGGAAGAAAAAAUUUCAGGCCUGGUUUACAUAUGAUUCUGAGUGAUAUGCUGACACAGAUGGAAGUGAAUUGAUGCAUAAUUAUGGCCCAACUCAGAGGUGGUCUGAGAUGACAGUAAGGAAAUGAAAUACUUCUACUGAGCAGGACUUCAAGCAGUAUAUCGGUCUGCUUGCCCACUCUGCCUGGAAGGAGAGAUGGCCAAAAAUAUGGAUCAUAUUGACAGUCACUAGUGAUUGUCACUGGAAAUUCAAUGACUUGAAAGAUACACAAUUGGAGGAAUGAAGAUAAGGAGAUCUGGGCAAAAGGUAUUUGUGUGUACCCCCAGAAUAAGAACAGAAUAUGAGGAUUUGUCUCAUGCGAAUUCCUACCAAAAGUCACUGAUUGAAGAGUCUUGCAGUUACCAGCUAGACAAGAAGACCCAUUGUAUGCAUAACAUUCAGCUUCUAGCUUCAUCUACAAGUGCUUCAUCAAGGACUUAUGAACAAAGUGGCCUUGACAACAGGAAUGGAGAUUACACAUGGGUUCAACAACAUGAACUCUCAUCAAGGCUAAUCAGAUUAAUGUCACUGCUGAGUGCUUGCCUGGCCAGUAGCCUAGCUGAGCCUCUGAAAGAGCAGGAUUCUCCUGGGAGACCAGUUACCAGUCUGGUGGCAGGUUGAUUUUCUUGACUAUACUGUCACUUUGGAUAAAUUUGGCUUUAAAAUUUG